GUUGAGAUCUAUCCUGAUGGGGCUUUUUCUGUAAACUUACAUUGUUGGAAGCAUCUCAUAGAGUAACUAUGUGAUUUCCUUUACUCAUAGAACUUCGUGUUAGAUCAGUGGGAAAAAACUACUAGACAGAG